rnacentral:rRNA from 1 species
UAGUCCACGCCGUAAACGAUGAGUGCUAGUCGUCGGGAAGCAUGCUUUUCGGUGACGCAGCUAACGCAUUAAGCACUCCGCCUGGGGAGUAUGGUCGCAAGAAUGAAACUCAAAGGAAUUGACGGGGGCCCGCACAAGCGGUGGAGCAUGUGGUUUAAUUCGAUGCAACGCGAAGAACCUUACCAGCCCUUGACAUUUAGCGAACUUAGCAGAGAUGCUUUGGUGCCUUCGGGAACGCUAGGACAGGUGCUGCAUGGUUGUCGUCAGCUCGUGCCGUGAGGUGUUGGGUUAAGUCCCGCAACGAGCGCAACCCCUAUUUUCAGUUGCCAGCACAUAAUGGUGGGGACUCUGGAAAGACUGCCGGGCGUAAGCCGCGAGGAAGGUGGGGGAUGACGUCAAAUCAUCAUGGCCUUUAUGCCUAGGGGCUACACACGUGCUACAAUGGCGGGUACAGA